rnacentral:antisense_RNA from 20 species
GAUAGCCAAAAAUGCGGAUUGGGUCUAAAUUUGGUUCAACAAUACGGACUUCACCCACCAGAGGAUCAUAAAUUCCUCCCCAUUGGUUGGCUUUGAGGACCAGAAGGGCUGCACCAAUGCCUAAUAGGACUAAGUGAAUCCCUAAAAUACUGGUCAUUUUUUUGCCAUCUUGCCA